rnacentral:RNase_P_RNA from 1 species
GGCGUGGGUCAGGUGGCCGCUUGCCUGAUUUCAGGUGAGAGGAAAGUCCGGACUCCACAGGGCAGGGUGCUGGGUAACGCCCAGGCGGAGCAAUCCGACAUGAGCGCCACAGAAAACAAACCGCCCCGGAAUCAUCCUCGGAUGGGUUCGGGGUAAGGGUGAAAUGGUGGGGUAAGAGCCCACCGCGUCCGCGGCGACGUGGAUGGCAGGGUAAGCAUCACCCGGAGCAAGACCAAAUAGGAGGACGCGCCGAACGGCCUGCUUGGCUUUGCACGGCAAACGCCGUGUGCGAAGGUGAGUCGGGACGUUCGGGAGAGGCCGGUCCGGCCGAGGUUCUCGGGUAGGUCGCUGGAGGCUUAUGGUAACAUAAGCCGUAGAGACAUGGUCACCGCCGUAUGCACGAUCAAUACGGAACAGAAUCCGGCUUAUCGACCCGCCCCCGUA